GUGCCUCAAUCUAUUGAGUAAGGAAAUUAUUGGGCCUUGGUAACGCUUGGCUAUGUCCGCUAAGGGCGAAUGUAUUUUUGAAAGGUACAGGUCGUCCCCUUGAGUCGCGCGCCUACUUUGCACGCGAUUCGGGUGAAGCGAUCUGCCUU